rnacentral:lncRNA from 1 species
AAAGAAAACUGGGAGAAACUGCCCAAAUCCAGGUGUGCAAAGCUGCUAGAAACAUACCCAAGAAGACUUGAAGCUAUAGCUGAAGAUGAAGCACAAGCUCAGAUUGUCCUACAAAGUACUAUACAAAAGGUUUGAAUCCAUGUGAAAAUUAGAGAUUUCUUUAUUUUUUUAUAAAUUUGCUAAAAUUCCUAAAAAUUUUGCUUCACUUUGCCAUUAUGGGGUAUUGCAUGGCAACUGAUGGCAAAAAAGAAUAAAUUCAAUCAACUUUUUAAAUAAGUCUACAGCACAACAAAGUACGGAGAAACCGGAGGAGUCCGAAUACUUUCUGAAGGCACCGUAUGUCCUGUAUCUCCAAGUUUUCUUUGUUUGGACAGUAAGUGUUGAAUAUUUUGGGGAGUUAUUUUGUUUUCUUCAUUAUAUUUUCUUUUAAAGGUUUACUGUCAGUGGAAUUCUCUCUGUCGGAGUGGGAGGGAUUAACAUCUGGCAGUUUGCACCCCGGGUUGCGGCAAGCCGGAGCCUAUCCCGGAAGGACAGGGCGCAGGGUUGGAGGGAGAACAUCGUGGAUGGGACACUGGUCCAUCGCACGGCACCCCAAGCAGGAUUCGAACCCCAGACCUGCCAACAGCUGGCACUGGCCCAACCCGCUGCGCCAUCACCCCCCCCAACAUAAUAUUCUUUACAUAAAAAUAUAAAUCAUACUCAUUUUUGUUUCAGCAACUUCUGAUUUUGAGUUAAAAUACAUCCCUCUGUGGGUAAAGGAUUAUAUCUCUGGGAUUAAAGUGCCUUAUGCUGAAACAUGGUCACAAACACAUAUGUAUCUACAGAACAAUGUACAGCAGGGUGCUGUAUAGUAAGUCUGUAUCAAGCUGAGCAUGUUACUUCCUUUCACAAACUUUAAAUAUCCAAACAGGUUUAUUUAUUGUAAUGAAAAAGUAAUAAGAGUAAAUGUUAUCAUCUCCAGAUGAUUCAGAUUUGCCUACGCUGCAUAUUCUGAAAAUAAGGUUUCCACAUUGUAAGGCCCUAUUUAAAAUCCCGUUGACAGUGACUUCAGCUUGUUGCCAUAACAUCAUUCCAAGCCCUACUUAAAUCCUCCUACAGUCACUGAGUGAUUUUACUGCUGCAGGUCUUACAAAACUACAAAUGCAAACUUCAAGAAAUCAAAAAUACAUUGAGUUUGUUUGUAUUAAAUAUUUAGCGCUUUAUAGAGACUCCUCACAAAUCAUUCUGACCAUUGUAGUCUCUCAGGCAUUUCUAGGUACAGCAUAAACAGCAUUUAUGGCAUUUUUUCCCUUUCUUUAUUAUUCAUUUAUAACGUUAUGCUGCUGAACAGUUAUGUGACACUGGAGAGUCGCACCGCAGUCCCAUUCUUUUUUUUACACGCCACACUGCAGAAAGACCGUAUUCCCGAACCUUCUUUUGCUAUUUUGCUGAGAUAGAGGUCGGAGAAUGAGUGACAGAUGACAGUGCGCUGAAAGGAAGUGCCGGAAAUUCUUGAAAACCAUUUGCGCAGAAGUAGGACCAGUUGGUGUUUGGAAAUGCAUGAAACAUUUGUUAAAUGUCCCAGAUACGCUCCGAGGCUGUCGAACACAUGCAGCAACUGUGAGGUACGGUUAAGACUUCCGCAGCCAGCUGAGACAAGUCAUGGCGGGGUUAGAGCUUCCUUGACUUGGUGUCCCCUCUGCAGCUGAGAUU